UUGGUGAUAAUGGAAAGCACUCCGAGUUCUAGUCAGUUUUAUAAUUAUUCCCUUUAAUUUAGUACAGACGAUGCACCCCUUUAGUACCCACAUCUGGGGCGGACCAUUCCCCCCACACACAACCCCUGGCCCCCCCGGAAUCCCUCUGCUCAUAUGCAAAUGGUAGGACGAAAGGAGGAGGCCGCCCCUUUCUAGCAUCUGUUAUAAGGUCUCCAGCUACUGGAUGCACAUGCCCCCUUUCCCUGAGAUAAGGAAUCGGAAGAGCACCGUGUUCUCCAGUGAAGCUAGUUUCAUGAUCAUGACCGACAUCACCUCGACCACUCUAUCUCGCCUGCUGCCGAAAUAAAGAAUGAUGAGUCACUGUUAAAGGAAUUACGGGGGCAAAGAUGACAGUGAAAUUCAAGACCUUGGAUAAAAAGCUAUCAAAGUGAUUAUGGCUGGAUGUUGGGAUCUCAUUGUCUACGAUGAUCUGAGCCUGACCUUUAUAGUCUGAAAAAAAAAAUGUCUAUAUAUGGAGAAGAGAAUAGAAAAGUUCAUCUAAUCCCACGUCGCACAUAGAGGUGGACAUUUUGAGUCCAUAGAGGUGAUAACCUGGAUUCUGGCCACCUCGACUAUCAUGCCCAGUGCCCAGCGGAGUGAGGCUCGUGUUGAGCGGAAAGUAGACAAACAUGCCGACUGGCCAGAGACUUCUGGAAAUCCGAGGCGGCCGGAAGAAUAGAAGGGCAGACUCAGCAUCAGCCAGCGGCAGGUGCGUGUGACUCCGGGGCCUGCAGGGGAAGGACAGAGGGUUGAGCCUUGGUGGCUUUGGGGUCAGAGCCAGUGUUGGUGGGGGACGUCGUAAGGGGAGAAAGUACAUUCUAAGGAUCCCCGAUGAGCCUUCGCCCGACAAACGUUGGUGGUCACGCUGAGGUCAGAGCCAGAAGGAAACGAAGGAUCAUGGGUGGAGGCGCGGGGGGCCGGGGGUGCAGUGGUGAGGUCGGCGCCCCAGCGGCCAGCGAUGGGGAACAGGUCUGACAUCACCAGCCCACCCGCCCACUCUGGUUACGCGCUGCCUGUGACGUUCACAGGCUCCCGUGGGUUGUAGAUAAGGUGACCUUGGGUCACGCAGAAUUCCCAGAGCACGCCACAUAACCCCGACCCUUUCGUUCCUACUCAGGAAGGCAAGUGAGCUCAAGUGACUGGAACUGAUCUUAUUAUAGGAACAAACCGGAAUCUGUGCUGAUUGUUGAAAACAGCACGUCACUCAGGAGCUGUAGGCUAGGGAUGAGUGACAGGUCACUCCCCGCAACGCUCCUUGUAUCUUAUUGCUGCAUACCUGUUUCUCGUUCAACCCUUUCGUUUCACGGUGGAGAAGCUGAGGCCCAGUGAGGCCAAAGGACCAGAGUCAAGGGAGUGUGAGGAGCUGGAGGCAGGAGUCAAGGCUCUUAGGGCUCUUGCCGUGACUGGGAAUUGCCUGUCACCAUCUUCGAUGGUGGGGGUGGUGGUGAGGAAUAGGCGGGUGGGAGGAAGAAGUGGAAGGUGGAAGGUGCCGGGUUCCCUCCAGGCCCACGUCACCAAAGAGACACCCGAGUCCCACACACACUUAACAUUCUUCUUGGCCUCACCCCAGUGCUCACCAGUGCUUAGAGGUGAGGUAGGGCUGGUGCGGUGGCAGUGUGGGUGGUGUCCUCCCCCAAAGAGGUCGCCCGAGUCCUAGCCGCCAGGACCUCAGAACGUGACCUUAUUUGGAAACAGGGUCUUUGCAGAGGUCAUCAAGUUAAAGCCAUUAGAAUGGCCUUAAAAAUCCAAUAUGGCUGUGGUGUCCUCAUGACAAAAUGUGGACGCAGAGGACAGAUGCACACAGAGGGAGAAUGUCACGUGAACAUGAAGGCGGAGUUGGGGGUGAUGCUUCCAUCAGCCAAGACACGUGACAGCUGGCCAGCAACCACCAGAAGCUGGGAGGGAGGCCUGGAGCACACGCUCCUUCACAGCCCCCGAAGGAACCGACCCUACAGACACCUUGAUCUAGGACUUCGAGCCUCCAGGGCCGUGAGAGUUUAGGUUUCUGUUGUUGAAGCCACCCCAGUCUGUUGCGCUUUGUUCCGAAAGCCCUAGGAAGGGAGUACUGGUGAGUCGGAGCUUAUAGCUCCGUCUCUUCAUUCGUAAGUCUUCACCCUCCUGCACGGUUCCCACCGCUUUGCGUGGCCCCGAUCUCGCUACAGUGUUCUCAUCCCUAGACUGCUGUCCCCACCGCUCUGCAUGGCCCUGAUCCCGCUACGGUGUUCUCAUCCUUAGACCGCUGUCCCCACCACUCUGCGUGGCCCUGAUCCCGCUACGGUUCUCAUCCCUAGACCACUGCCCAUUUGCCUCUGUGUUCGUGUGGCCACCUAGCCUGGUCUUGCCCAAGACCCAAGUCCCUGGUCUAACCUCAGACCCAAGACCCAGCUCACAACGGAUGAACGGGCUGGCAGGCACGCUUGGGUAGCAGGGCGGCCAGGGUGUUGGAUGGCCACGGGGGCAGGUUGGGGACUGGCAUGGCUUUGGCUGCUGUGGGGGCCCAGGUGGUGAGGACGGGAAGGAGGACCGUGAGGGAGGCAUUUCAAAAGAUAAGUGUUUAAGACGCAGGGCUGCUGAGAGGCAGGAUGUAGGGGUGUGAGGGUUCAAGGUGCUGGGUGGAGUUGGGGUCGCCGAGGCCGAAGACAGGUCACACAGGCGGGCCAAGAGGUGGGAGAUGGGAGAUGGGCGAAGGGCGAAGCAGCUGCCCCCCCCGCCCCUCGGAGGACACCACGACGGCAUCAGUACACACCUAGCUUGUGAUCAAGUCUUGUUUAUUUUAGAAGCAUAAACAGUGGAACUAGGGAGGAUUGAGGAGAAUGAGAACCAGUCCCUGUGGCAGAGCCGGAUCCAGCACAGGCUCCGCGUGUGUGUGUGUGUGUGUGUGUGUGUGUGUGUGUGACCAAGGCCGACCCCGCGGCCUCCAUCAGCCUCCUGGGGGGACAAUGUGGGUGGAGGUGGAGCUGCCGUGAGGCUGGGGUAAAACUGGCUCCAGGUUUGCUCUGAACCAGGUGAAAAAGUCUGGAGGUGCCGCAACACCCUUGGCCCAGAGCACCCCAGGCUGGCUCUGUCCAUGCCCAAGGCAAGGUCGUGCCCUGGAGGGGAGACCUUGGUGCCUCCUGCUCACCAGGAAGGCCCCAGGUGUCCAAGAACAAGCUGCAACGAGGCCCCUGGCCAGUGAGCACCUGCUCCCCUCCCCACGUCUUCCCUGCAGUCUUCAAGGACAGGGCAUCCCAGGCCGCCAGACUUCUCCGGGCCCCUCGGUCGGGUGACCGAAGCCCCGGGCCCUACACAUACUGCUUCUUGGAAGCAGAGCUGCUGGGGCGACUGGGGGAUUUCUGGCCACUCUCGGGGGGUGGGUCCAGGAAGAGGGGGGCCCUGGAGGAAGCCAGCCUCUCCUCCGUAGUCAGGUUGGCCCAGUUCUGCUCGCUGGAGGAGAGCCCGUUGUAGGUGGGGCACGGCGGGGACGAGGGUCCCUCUCCCAUGGGCAGGUAGAAGAAGACCUGGUCGGCAUAGGGCUCCGAGGAGGCGCCCCGGGGUGGGGGGGCAUCCUGGCCCCGCUGGGCCUUCAUCCCCCGGCUGAGGCAGCGGCACAGCAGGUGAGCCAGCUCCAGUAGGUUGAGCACCAGGGAGAUGAGUCCAACCACCAGCAUGAAGAUGAUGAAGAUAGUCUUCUCCGUGGGGCGCGAGACGAAGCAGUCCACGAGGUAGGGGCAGGGCGCGCGCUGGCACACAAACACGGGCUCCAUGGUCCAGCCGUAGAGACGCCACUGGCCGUAGAGGAAGCCGGCCUCCAGCACGCUCUUACAGAGCACGCUGGCCACGUAGGUGCCCAUCAGCGCCCCGCGGAUCCGCAGGCGGCCGUCCUCCGCCACUGAGAUCUUGGCCAUCUGACGCUCGACGGCUGCCAGUGCCCGCUCCACGCGCGGGUCCUUGGCCGGCAGGGCCCGCAGCUCCCCCUCCUUCUGCCGCAGCCGCUCCUCGCGCCGAGACAGGUAGAUGACGUGGCCCAGGUAGACCAGGGUGGGCGUGCUGACGAAGAGGAACUGCAGCACCCAGUAGCGGAUGUGGGAGAUGGGGAAGGCCUGGUCAUAGCAGACGUUGGUGCAGCCCGGCUGGGCCGUGUUGCACUCGAAAUCGGACUGCUCGUCGCCCCACACCGACUCGCCAGCCAGGCCCAGGAUGAGGAUGCGGAAGAUGAAAAGCACCGUCAGCCAGAUCUUGCCCACGACAGUCGAGUGCUCCUGGACCUGAUCCAGCAGCUUCUCGAGGAAGCCCCAGUCGCCCAUGGCUCGCUGGCCUCCGUCUGCGGGAGACAGGACCUGUCAGCACGGCCUCCUCCUUUGUGGUCCCGGCAACCAGCCCCAGGGAGGCGGGCCACGCCCAUUUUGCCUACAGGGACACUGAGGCUCAAGGAGGGGGGCGCUGGCCGGGGGGGCUCCCACCCAGCAGGGUGGGCAGGACUAAAAGCCAGUCCUUGGAUGAUGGCGACUAAGCUCUGGCAGAUAGACAGCCAGGGUCCUAGUCCUGUCACCUAUCUGUGUCCCUCCUGUUCCCAGCCCGAGUCCCAGGCUGACACAGCCCAAGAUCUGGGUCAAGUUGAGGCUCCUGAGCUCAUAGGAACAGAGAAUUUGAGGAACUUACUUGAGGCCACACAGCUAUGCUUCGCCCCUCCUUCCUCCUGCCCCCGACACGCUGUCUGGGGUGCGGGUGGUGGUGGUGCUAUCUUCACCUUCUCAGGGGCCCCAAAGCCUCAGGUCCCCACUCUUCUGCCCAGUGUAGCUCACCCAGCUGCCCUCACUCUAACCUUUCAGCUGGUGGUGGGGAGGGGGGCGGAGGGAGGGGCGUUAGGCGCUAAAGGUCAUGGUCCCACCUGUCAGCAAUAGCGACCACCUGCUGCUGAAGCGUGGCCGCUGCUCCAAUCUCCUUCCUCCUUGCGCCCCCCGCCCCCCAAGCUGUUGCUACCAAGUUCUCAACUCUUGAAAGAAUUGUCCUAGCGGGAUGGCUGCCCCGGGGUUGGGGGUGGGGGCUGCAAAGUUCCCAGAACAUCAGAGAGCGGAGGGAAGGGUGCAGGGAGGUGCCUCUUCUUGGAGCCACGCUGUUUAGAGCCAGGCGCUGGUCCUCCCUCCCCCUCGCCGACUCCCCCUGGGUGAGCAGCGACCUCUGCACCUGAGUGUCCUCUCCCCAUAAAAGGGACGCAAUACUCUUACCUCCUAGGGCUAUAGGAACACAGGGACAGGCUGACGGGAAGCCUGGUCACGGGCCGGCUGGGUGAGCGCGGCCGUUGGGGCUCCCCACGACCCCGAGCAACCCCGGCCCCGGCGGUGGCGGACGUGUCCCCUGCUGCCUGGCAGGUGGCGCCCGGGUCCCCCAGCCCCUCUCUCCGCCCCACUCACCGCCUGCCUCCUGCCUGCUGGGCGGCGGGGAAGCUG